ensembl:miRNA Gm23633 predicted gene, 23633
AGAAAUAUUUUCAUGCAGACACAAAUUCAUUCAUAUAUAUAAUGUGUAUGUGUGUGUGUAUGUGUGUGUGUGUACAUAUAUACAUACACACACACAUACAUACACACAAUCAUUU